UGAAAUAAAGUGUAAAGCACACUAAACUUUGAAUUUAGAGGUUAAAUUUCAA
rnacentral:tRNA from 1 species